UACGUAGGGGGCAAGCGUUGUCCGGAAUCAUUGGGCGUAAAGCGCGUGUAGGCGGCCCGGUAAGUCCGCUGUGAAAGUCCAGGGCUCAACCCUGGAAUGCCGGUGGAUACUGUCGGGCUCGAGUCCGGAAGAGGCGAGUGGAAUUCCUGGUGUAGCGGUGAAAUGCGCAGAUAUCAGGAGGAACACCGGUGGCGAAGGCGGGAUCUCUGGGCAGUGAACUGACGUGAGGAGCGAAA
rnacentral:rRNA from 1 species